rnacentral:rRNA from 1 species
ACGUCGAGUGGUGAACGGGUGAGUAACACGUGGGUGAUCUGCCCUGCACUUCGGGAUAAGCUUGGGAAACUGGGUCUAAUACCGGAUAGGAGCCAUCUUUAGUGUGGUGGUUGGAAAGUUUUUCGGUGUAGGAUGAGCUCGCGGCCUAUCAGCUUGUUGGUGGGGUAAUGGCCUACCAAGGCGGCGACGGGUAGCCGGCCUGAGAGGGUGUACGGCCACAUUGGGACUGAGAUACGGCCCAG